AUGUGUUGGUUGGCUGGGUCAACCGUUUCGUGGUGCGUGCGCACCCUGUCCCUGCACGCCGCGUGCACGUCACGCCAUUUGCGGGAGAUCGUGCGAGAGCCACGCCCAUUGGUCACCGCCCCGCACAAACCCUACCCUUUCCAGCACUCCCAAAUCGAUGCAGCCGCCUCCACUCUCCCUCUCUUCCUCCCCCAACGCGCCGGCCGCUUCCACCUGCCAUACCGCCUCCCCGCUGCCGCCAUGGCCUCUUCAGGAGGCACGCCCCUCCAUAGUGCGAAGCAGGAGACCAGGAUCCGAAUGAGGAAGAGGAGAUCCGGGCGCCCCAACGGUGGAUCAAUCGAUGCGAGGUGA
rnacentral:rRNA from 1 species